AUGAGCUAUUCAAGGUCUAUUGGCUUUAUUGCUUAUGUGGUACUUCGACCGCGAAGCCUCGCUUAUGCACCGAGAAAGAUCGUAGAUAGGAAAGAUCUGUUAUGCACCAACGACGACCCCUUCUCUUUACCUUUAUCAUCUCAUACCUCAGUCCAUUGCUGGCUUGAAUGUUGUCUCUCUUCUUCUUUGCUCGCGAGAGUGAAUUAG
rnacentral:rRNA from 1 species